rnacentral:rRNA from 1 species
UACAGAGGUCCCAAGCGUUGUUCGGAUUCAUUGGGCGUAAAGGGUGCGUAGGCGGCGGGGUAAGUCAGGUGUGAAAUCCCGGAGCUCAACUCCGGAACUGCACUUGAUACUGCCUUGCUCGAGUACUGGAGAGGAGACUGGAAUUUACGGUGUAGCAGUGAAAUGCGUAGAUAUCGUAAGGAAGACCAGUGGCGAAGGCGAGUCUCUGGACAGUUACUGACGCUGAGGCACGAAGGUCAGGGGAGCAAACGGG